UAUGUACUACCUCCGUCUCAAAAAUUUUGUCUUAGAUUUGUCUAGAUAUGGAUGUAUCUUUUGGUAUUUACAUAUAUUCAUUUCUAGACAAACCUAACACAAGAAUUUUGAGACAGAGGUAGUUUUCU
rnacentral:pre_miRNA from 1 species